UGGACUAAUACCUUGGUGGCUUGUACUUUGGUCAGCAUACAUGUACAAGUAGUUAAUACUAGUUUUCAAGUGUAUUGAUAUAAAAAUUGUUCAUAAAAUUGAGAAUGGAAAUGGGGAAUUAGUCAAAGAGACAACAACCCGACCAUAGAACAGACAACAGCAGAAGGUCACCAAUAGGUCUUCAAUGCAGCGAGAAGUUUCCGCACCCGGAGGUGUCCUUCAG
rnacentral:lncRNA from 1 species